CGAACCUGACACGAUCACAAUACUAAGAGAGUAAGGUCAGAGAAAUCUAAGGACACUACAAGCUUUCGGAAUCCAGUGUAGUUAGCUUUUUGUUUGCCGUGAACAAAGAGUCUGGCAGGAGUUUGGAAAUCUAGAGCAGCAACAUGGUGGAAGAAUUUCAUUUCAGCUGUAUUGACUGUAUGAGAGCAAGAUACGUUUAAGAAGAGUUCAGAUAUCUGGAGCAGCAAUAUGGUGAACGAUUCCCCGAGGAGAUAGAGAAUUGUGCUAUUUUUUUGCUAUUUUACCACGCAGGCAAACUGCUAGGCAAGCAGAUGCAUUGUAUGUUUAAUAAAUAUGUAUUUGUACAAAUAUAAA